GGUCCAGUCGCUAGCUGAGAUCUGCUGGGCUUCUCGGGGUUUGGUAUCUUGGCACUGAGGUUAACAGCUGCCGUGAAGAUGACUGGGAAGAGCUACAAAGAGAGCAAAGAGCAGAACAAACUGGCCACUGUCAGGACACCUGGGAUUCUUUGUCCUUUCACAGAAGAGACGGUUUCUCUGUAUUGUUUUAAAAGCUGUCCUGGGACUCGCUCUGUAGACCAGACAGGCCUGGAACUCACAGAGAUCCGCCCCAGUGCUGGGAUUAAACGCAUGCACCACCACCGCCUGGCUCAAUUUGAUGGUUUUUAGCUCUUUUAUUUUUGCAGCUCUUGGAAUUAAACCCAGCUAUAGGACAAGCUGCAGGAAAGUGUGCAGAUGUGAAGAGAAGUAUUGGAAAUCUGAUAUGUCGGACACUUGAUGACAUUGUCCCUGCUUCACAGAGAGACGGUGAUGGUGAAGGACACAGAACAGUUCCCCAUGACUAUCCCAAGUUCCAUCCCACGGGUCUGGGGUCCCUUAGAUCCUAGACACUGAACUAUUACUGAGUCAACAGUGAUGACACAUUGGCUUAUAUCUUACUGCCCCCCUGCUCUAGAAUGUCCUAAGUACCUUUGCAUAAAGUCUGGCCCACCUUCCAGCAUCUUCCUUAUGGGUAAAUGACAUGGUUCCCAUGCCUUCUCUAGCUGGUCUCAGCCUCUCCUUGUGUUGUCUCCAGGUCCUAUGAGUAUCUCUCCUACAUCAAACACUCACUGAUGCCAUUGUUUCUUCUGUCAAUGUUUCCUUUAUUUUAAUCCGACCUGUCCCUGUUCUUUUAGUCUAUCUACCCCAUAGCUAUUGUCUCAGUGUCCUACUGUGUUUGUUCUUUAAAUCGUCAUUGUCAUGAGUCUCAGGAUCCCAGGAUACACACACACACACACACACACACACACACACACACACACACACACACACACCCUCAGGUGGCUUUGGCUCUUCAGCUGUGAUUACCUCCGCACCAAAUGGAGCUCUUAAAUUCCCUGUACCUGAGUAUCUGUCCCCAGCUGGGUUGCUCCUGCUGGAGAACCAGAUUUGUUCAGCCUUUUUGUUUUUAAAUUUUUUGUGAAUUGUGUUCUGUUUGUUCUGUGACUCUGCAGAAAUGUUUGAAGACAGUUUACAAUAAAAAUCUCCCUCUCUGUAUCUCUCACACACAUACAAACACACACACACACAGAGAGAGAGAGAGAGAGAGAGAGAGAGAGAGAGAGAGAGAGAGAGAGAGAGAGAGAGACAUCUGAGUAAUGGAGAAAGACAAAGAAAAUAAGUAUACAAUAAGUAUGCGUACUGUUUUUCUCAAGUGUCUCUCAAACCCACUUUCUAAAGACUCACAGACUGUCAAGGUUCAUUGUCCACAUUAGACCCUGAGUUAACAGUGCCAUAACAGUGACAGGUUAUGGCAUAGACCCUCCAUUAAAAAAAAAAGAGUUAAACAUGUGCUGUAUUUUUUAAAUGUGAGUUAUAAAAGGCAUUGUCUUGGUUUAAUCUCCUGCAUUCACCAAAAGAUCAGGCCCAAGAUCAAAAGGUACUUACAGUAAAGUUAUGUUGUCACCAAGCCACAUUAACUAAGUUAAUGUACCAACCUACUGAGAAAUCAGAAGAGAUAAAGAGCUAAUUCCUCAGACCAUUCUUUGCUUUCACAUUUAGAAAGGACAACCUGAAGUAGCCCCAUGUUGACCCCAUCCACUAUUUCUGUAUUGUCUAUCACCCGCCUGACAAGAAAGUAACUCUGAAAUGACCAAACCGCUUGUUCUUUGAUGCUUUUUCAGCCUUUCUUUGAUCAUAAAACAACCUCUCCUUUUACUCAAUCCAUCAGAACCGUUUUGUUUUGUUUUUAAUGGAGUGGAAAUUUG